GACGAACGCUGGCGGCGUGCUUAACACAUGCAAGUCGAACGGAAAGGCCCUGCUUUUGUGGGGUGCUCGAGUGGCGAACGGGUGGGUAACACGUGAGUAACCUGCCCUUGACUUUGGGAUAACUUCAGGAAACUGGGGCUAAUACCGGAUAAGAGCUCCUGCUGCAUGGUGGGGGUUGGAAAGUUUCGGCGGUUGGGGAUGGACUCGCGGCUUAUCAGCUUGUUGGUGGGGUAGUGGCUUACCAAGGCUUUGACGGGUAGCCGGCCUGAGAGGGUGACCGGCCACAUUGGGACUGAGAUACGGCCCAGACUCCUACGGGAGGCAGCAGUGGGGAAUAUUGCACAAUGGGCGGAAGCCUGAUGCAGCAACGCCGCGUGCGGGAUGACGGCCUUCGGGUUGUAAACCGCUUUCGCCUGUGACGAAGCGUGAGUGACGGUAAUGGGUAAAGAAGCACCGGCUAACUACGUG
rnacentral:rRNA from 1 species